GCUAUAGCUUUAUAUGUGCCCGUACCGUAAACCGACACAGGUGGAUGAGGAGAGAAUCCUAAGGCCGGCGGAAGAAGUAUUGUUAAGGAACUCGGCAAAAUGACCCCGUAACUUCGGGGGAAGGGGUGCCCACGGGAGUGGGCCGCAGAGGAUAGGCUCAAGCAACUGUUUAGCAAAAACACAGAUCUAUGCGAAACCGAAAGGUGAAGUAUAUGGGCUGACGCCUGCCCGGUGCUGGAAGGUUAAGAGGAGAGGUUAGAGCAAUCGAAGCUUUGAAUUUAAGCCCCAGUAAACGGCGGCCGUAACGAUAACGGUCCUAAGGUAGCGAAAUUCCUUGUCGGGUAAGUUCCGACCCGCACGAAAGGCGUAAUGAUUUGAGCACUGUCUCGACAAUACAUCCGGUGAAAUUGAAGUACCAGUGAAGAUGCUGGUUACCCGCGCCAGGACGGAAAGACCCCAUGGAGCUUUACUCCAGUUUGGUACUGGGAUUCGGUACUGCACGUACAGGAUAGGUGGGAGACUAAGAAACUUGAACGCCAGUUUGAGUGGAGUCGCUGUUGGGAUACCACCCCUGCAGUAUUGGAUUUCUAACCAGUCACCGUGAUCCGGUGAUGGGACAAUGCCAGGCGGGGAGUUUGACUGGGGCGGUCGCCUCCGAAAGGGUAUCGGAGGCGCUCAAAGGUUCCCUCAGAAUGGUCGGAAACCAUUUGAAGAGUGCAAAGGCAGAAGGGAGCUUGACUGCGACACCGACGGGUGGAGCAGGUAGGAAACUAGGACUUAGUGAUCCGGUGGCAUAAAGUGGGAUUGCCAUCGCUCAACGGAUAAAAGCUACCCUGGGAUAACAGGCUUAUCACUCCCAAGAGUUCACAUCGACGGAGUGGUUUGGCACCUCGAUGUCGGCUCAUCACAUCCUGGGGCUGUAGCAGGUCCCAAGGGUUGGGCUGUUCGCCCAUUAAAGCGGUACGCGAGCUGGGUUCAGAACGUCGUGAGACAGUUCGGUCCCUAUCCGGCGCGGGCGGAGGAUAUUUGAGAGGAGCUGUCCUUAGUACGAGAGGACCGGGAUGGACGGACCACUGGUGUAUCUGCUGUCGGCCAACGGCAUGGCAGAGUAGCCAAGUCCGGAAGGGAUAAACGCUGAAGGCAUCUAAGCGUGAAGCCCCCCUCAAGAUGAGAUAUCCCUCACAAAAGUGAGUAGAUCCCUUGAAGACUACAAGGUAGAUAGGGCAGAGGUGGAAGUGUGGCAACACAUGGAGCUGACUGUUACUAAUCGAUCGAGGGCUUGACCG
rnacentral:rRNA from 1 species